rnacentral:sRNA from 2 species
AAUCCUCUGUCGCUGAAUUCUGUAUAAAGAAGCGGGGGAACCAAUUACCGGGGUGAAUCCUUUUUGAGGUAGGGUUACUCUAUCGACCCGAAUCCGUCAGCUAACCUCGCAAGCGUUGAAGAGAGAUGAA